CUGUCCAAGACGAACGGGGAGCAGGGAUCUAGAGACGAACUCCUCCAAAUCAACAGAAGGCACGGUGAGAUUGACGGAGUUGAACGUAGUAAUUAUGGCAUAUAACUUAACCAAGCCAUUUUACUGGCUGCCUAAAACCUCGCCCACAAAGAUACCUGGUCCUGCAUUGAUUCGCCUGACAUAAUCCGACUCUUUCGUGCUAUUUGUUGGAAUGAAAUGACGCCCCCAAAGUUCCGGCUUCUUUUAUUGGGAAAUCAUCAUCUACCAACUAGAAAUGAAUGGGAAUAUCAUGGAUGAUGGUGCUACCUCGCCUUGCGUCGGAAUUAUCCUAGAACCAAUACCGAUUUAACUGUGACCCGGUAUCUAUAAGAAAAUUGCCGAUUCCCUGACGAAGACUGCCGUGCCGAAGUUAAAUAACAGGUGAUAAUGUGAAGCUAUUUAUGUCGGACGUGUAGCAGACGCGGUGGAGUUGACGCUGGUGAAAUUAAGGGUUGGAGGAAGAAGAUGAACAAGAGGAUGAGGAAAACCCUACGUUCGGUGACUCUACAUUCAAUUUCUCUACCAGAAAUACACCAUCACGCGGGCCAGUUUUGCGGCUCUUUUUAGCACGUAUAUACUUUGUUUUGUACGGCGGCAUUGUAUCAAGUAACGGGCUUAAUAAUACUAACAGCUAUACUUACUUAUAAAUUUACAAAUCUUCAACAACAAUUAACGUACAAUUCGUAAUAAUAUUGUUUAAAUUCGACUUAAUUGGUCUUC